rnacentral:rRNA from 1 species
UGGGGAAUUUUGGACAAUGGGGGAAACCCUGAUCCAGCCAUCCCGCGUGUGCGAUGAAGGCCUUCGGGUUGUAAAGCACUUUUGGCAGGAAAGAAACGUCAUGGGUUAAUACCCCGUGAAACUGACGGUACCUGCAGAAUAAGCACCGGCUAACUACGUGCCAGCAGCCGCGGUAAUACGUAGGGUGCAAGCGUUAAUCGGAAUUACUGGGCGUAAAGCGUGCGCAGGCGGUUCGGAAAGAAAGAUGUGAAAUCCCAGAGCUCAACUUUGGAACUGCAUUUUUAACUGCCGGGCUAGAGUGUGUCAGAGGGAGGUGGAAUUCCGCGUGUAGCAGUGACAUGCGUAGAUAUGCGGAGGAACACCGAUGGCGAAGGCAGCCUCCUGGGAUAACACUGACGCUCAUGCACGAAAGCGUGGGGAGCAAACAGG